UACGUAGGGUGCGAGCGUUGUCCGGAAUUACUGGGCGUAAAGAGCUCGUAGGUGGUUUGUCGCGUUGUCCGUGAAAACUCACAACUCAAUUGUGGGCGUGCGGGCGAUACGGGCAGACUGGAGUACUGCAGGGGGAGACUGGAAUUCCUGGUGUAGCGGUGGAAUGCGCAGAUAUCAGGAGGAACACCGGUGGCGAAGGCGGGUCUCUGGGCAGUGACUGACGCUGAGGAGCGAAAGCGUGGGGAGCGAUCCGG
rnacentral:rRNA from 1 species